rnacentral:misc_RNA from 1 species
UUUCCGUGGGUGUACCUGCGGAAGGAUCAUUACAGAGUUCAUGCCCUCACGGGUAGAUCUCCCACCCUUGAAUAUUUAUACCUUAGUUGCUUUGGCAGGCCGUGGAAACACCAUGGGCUCCGGCUUAUGCGUGCCUGCCAGAGGAAACAAACUCUAUUUUUAGUGAUGUCUGAGUACUAUAUAAUAGUUAAAACUUUCAACAACGGAUCUCUUGGUUCUG